rnacentral:rRNA from 1 species
UACGUAGGUUGCGAGCGUUAAUCGGAUGUACUGGGCGUAAAGCGUGCGCAGGCGGCCCGUUAAGACAGGUGUGAAAUCCCUGGGCUCAACCUAGGAAUUGCGCUUGUGACUGGCGUGCUCGAGUACGGUAGAGGGGGGUGGAAUUCCUGGUGUAGCAGUGAAAUGCGUAGAGAUCAGGAGGAACACCGAUGGCGAAGGCAGCCCCCUGGGCCUGUACUGACACUGAGGCGCGAAAGCGUGGGGAGCAAACAGG